rnacentral:rRNA from 1 species
AGAGUUUGAUCCUGGCUCAGGAUGAACGCUGGCGGCGUGCCUAAUACAUGCAAGUCGAACGAAGAUCUAGCUUGCUAGAUCUUAGUGGCGAACGGGUGAGUAAUACAUAAAUAAUCUGCCCAUAUGACUGGGAUAACUAUUGGAAACGAUAGCUAAUACCGGAUAGGUUGAUCGGAGGCAUCUCUGAUGAAUUAAAGUAGGAUUUCUACACAAAUGGAUGAGUUUAUGGCGCAUUAGUUAGUUGGUGGGGUAACGGCCUACCAAGACGAUGAUGCGUAGCCGACCUGAGAGGGUGACCGGCCACACUGGGACUGAGACACGGCCCAGACUCCUACGGGAGGCAGCAGUAGGGAAUUUUCGGCAAUGGGCGCAAGCCUGACCGAGCAACGCCGCGUGAGUGAUUAAGGCCUUCGGGUUGUAAAGCUCUGUUGUAAGGGAAGAACAUUCAGGAUAGGAAAUGAUCUUGAACUGACGGUACCUUACCAGAAAGCCACGGCUAACUACGUGCCAGCAGCCGCGGUAAUACGUAGGUGGCAAGCGUUAUCCGGAAUUAUUGGGCGUAAAGGGUGCGUAGGCGGUUUAUUAAGUCUAUGGUGAAAGUGCGGGGCUCAACCCCGUAUGGCCAUAGAAACUGGUAGACUUGAGUGCAGGAGAGGGCAAUGGAAUUCCAUGCGUAGCGGUAAAAUGCGUAGAUAUAUGGAGGAACACCAGUGGCGAAGGCGGUUGCCUGGCCUGUAACUGACGCUGAAGCACGAAAGCGUGGGGAGCAAAUAGGAUUAGAUACCCUGGUAGUCC